CGCGCUGCCAACCGGCGCUCGCGCCUGCCGCUCCUGCUGUGGCUGUUGGUCUAACAGCCGCCCAGCCAACGGCCGCUGGGGCGGCGGGGCGGGCAGGCUGGGCUGGGGCGACGUGGCCGGUCUGCGGGACAGCGCUCGGCACCCAGCACAGGCUCGCCAGGCUGCUCCGCGGCCACCCCAUCGGCAGCCUCUUCCGCUCUCCCCCUGUCCUCCCGCGGCCCGCACCGUACCGCGCCGGGCGAAGGCCGCCCUGUGCAGUGGGUGACCGUGACCCGCCACAGCCCGGCCCCAGCGGGGCUUUGAUCCAGAGUUUUGUCACUUCAGGGGACUGUGAUAAAUAAGUGAUGGUCUUUAAUGUUAUCAGAGUGCUGAUUAUGUGGUUGUAGAGGUAUUACUAUGUGGCUGGGUAGAUGCUGAGCUGUAAAUUUGGAAGCUGCUAAAAUAAAAUCGCUGAAGUAGCUUUUGACAGGGCGUAGCCUCAGCUGGCAGCUCGUCUUGCCAGUGUCUGGGUUUGUUCACGCAGAUGCUUCAAAAAGUGCCUGUGCCUGUUAACUGGCCGGCCUCUGGGGACAGUAUUCAUUCACUGCUGAUGUGCAGAAAGGGGAAGGAGGAAGAUGUUGGGUAAUGUAAGACUUUCUACAGUGCUGUGCACAUCUCCCAUUGCAUUUGAUCUGCUCCAUAGGUGAGACAAAGGGAGGUUCUGCCUCCUCACUGGCAGGCCUAGUCUACUUCUAAGAAAGCACUGAAAAAAAGUCCCUUUAUAGUACCGAGUUCUUUCUGCUCUCUUUAAAUAGCUUCCCCUAAAGAUUUUGUGUUCUGCUAGUGGAGCUAACCUACCUUUUUAUGUUUCUUGACAACUAACACUUAAAAAUGUUUUGGUAAUCUCUAGUUGUGCAUCACCUUACGUUAUGGAUCUUCUGCCUAAUUUAGCUGACCAACUGGUAGACUUCAGAGAACCAUUUGUUUUAGUCACCAGGAUACAGCAAUAAUAAUGGAAAUAGCGAAAUAAGCCAAAGUCUCUGCAAAUAUCUAGCUCACCAUGUAACUGUGGCUUUUGGGUUUUGGUAAAGUGAUUAGGCAGUCAAGUACUGAUUAUUCAGUCAUCUGGGACUGACAUUUAAUUGAUGUUUAAUAUUGGUGUUAAUUUACAUUAUUAUUCUUUCUAAGUGUUUUUAUUAAAAGGCAGUGUCCUCAUUUGUUUACUUGGGGACACUGAGUUCACUUUUAGUUUUAAAAUUCUUUAGUCCAGGAAAAAUUUAUUAAAAUUGCUCCCUCUCCAUUCUUGCAAUUUUUUAAUUCCAUAAACUGUAAAAGUAUUAUUUUGAAUGUGAAAGAUCUGUUCUAAAGUUAAGAAAUAUUUUCAUGAUACUAUAUACAAGUUAUCCCAGUCAUUUCCUCUUCAUUCAGGCACAUCCUGAAGAAAGCAGUGCCUGGUGUUGCACUUUGGCAGGAAGUAAACCCUUCAAUAAGUGCAAGGUGUGCUCGGGAUUGGAUCUCAAAGGGAUUAAAGUGUUCUGUCCUGGCUCCUAGAUCCAAGUUUCUUUCAGGUGCCAGCUGGGUGCCUCUGCCUACCUUCAGCUGCAGACAACAGGGCAGCUCCAGCAUGUACAGAGACAAGAUUGUGAAUAGAUUUUGCAUCCAUAAAUGUAUCUACAAUUAUUAUACAAUACUUAAGAAUUUCUGUAACUGCCAUUUGGUUGCAGUUGAGCAGCUUUUAGAUAGAAAAUGUGGAUAUUGGUGGUUAUCUCCAUUCAAAAUGUGAUUAUGAUCUGUAUUAGCUCUAGUCAUUAUUGCUGAUUUUAAUAGAUAAAAGAGGUGCAUAAACUAAAGUAGAACAUAGUAUUAGACUUGCCAGGAAAAUCAUUCCCUAGCUUUGUUUUACACGGGAAGAAAACUUGUGCUUUGGAUUCCUUAAAAUCCUCAUAUUCCUCAACUGCAAAUUAGGGAGAGGAUAAUGGGACCUAUUCUUUAUACAACUAAUCUAUCACUUCAUUACUAAAUAGAGAAUCUUACUUUCCAUUGUGUAGUAUGUAGUCAUUAAGUAAUCUUGUGUGACAUACAUGCACAGCUUUUUGUGUGUUUCUUAUUCAGGAAAUAAAGUUCUCUGCACUAAAUUCAAGUUACUUGAAGGUGGAUCCUAGGCAUAGUGUUAGCAUUUGAAUCCAAAUCCUCUAAACACUUGAGUAUCAAGCAUAUUGCUUUAUAAAAGUAGUUAUCUACAUGGAUACACUGGUGUUGUGUAUGUCUGCGUGUGGAUGAUUUGCAUUUAGGGAAAUAGGAGAGAAAGUGCAUAACAUGAAAAGAUUUGUUGGGGGAAGCAUUUAGGAAGGCAAAGGAUUUUCCUUCUAGUUCAUUUGUGUUUGUUGUUGGCUUUUUUGUUCUUGAGUGGAGGGAGAAUAAUGAAGCUGUUCAUUGUUUCUUCAUACUUCAGCAUUUGUUGGAAGAACUUCUGCCUAUUGGUAAAAUGUGAGUUUCUUUUGUUCAUGCCCUUUGUCAGAUCUAAUUGUCUCACCUCAGGAAUAAUUAUUCUAAAGCUGAGAAAAGAACUUAGCAGAAAAAAGCCUUUAAAUAAUGAAUCCUCCCUUUUCCCAUUUUAAACCAAAUCAAUUCAGCAAAAAAGGCCUAUGUUCAAAGCUCAGAAACUUCAAAACACAACAAAUCUUAUCUGAGCACCUUCCAGUGGUGCCAAGCCCCAUUGGAAGUGUUGAGCUCCCAAAAUCUGUCAAAAUCAAUGCCAGCUUCAGACAAACAAAUGAAAUGCACAUGAAAGAGGUCACAAACAGAUUAGUUAGACAGCAUUUUUCAGUCCAAAUUACAAAAAAAAGAGCUAACAAGUUCUGCUUGUGUUCAACUCCAGCAACAUUUCUCCUUAUGGAAACUGCAGUCCUCAGGAUGCAUGAAAAGUUUGCCUUGGAAGGUGUUAGAAAACAGCAUUUAAGAUGCUACUCAGCUUUUCCAGAACAGAGGAGUUAAAAAGUGGAGGAUAUUUGUACAAGUCAGUGAACUCUCUGGACCUCACAUUUUUGGCAACACCUCUGUUUCUUUUGCAAGGGAGCAGAAGUAUAAACAUGGAGUAUUCACUCUGUUUUUUCUGUCUUAGCUGGAAGAAACUGAGCUGCUGCUGCCAGCUCCAGGGAACACUCAUAGUAAUCCAUAUUUUCCUUUUUAUUUUCAAAAUUGCAAGUUGUACAUCAUGAGUGUCAGUCUCAUCCAUGCGGCAGACAAACCCAAAAUCCGUUUUAUGUUCAUCUCCGUAUAUUCAAAGAUCCCAUGGAAGCAGAUGGCCUGUCUACAAAAAGGCCAAGCUGAAUCAGCUACUAGAGUGUAUAUAGAGAGCUGCCAUGUUAAAGAAGUAUAUGCCCACAGCUAAGGUAAUUCACAUCAAUCCUAAAUUAUCACUUCUUGGCUAUCUAGUUCUGGGUGCUGCCUGCCUCUGUAAGGAAUGGAUGUAUUUCAUGACAUUGAAAAUGCUGAAGUUCUGAAGAACAGUAGCUACCUGUCUGUAUAUGCUAUAGGUAUGGAAUCUUUAACAGCACAGAUAAUCUUAUUUUUCAGUAAGUUAAAAAAAAAAAAAAAAUCCUCAACAGGACAAUAAUGUUCUGGCUGAAUCCUGAAUAUUACCAAUUGUUUUCAGUACUCAACUGAGUAGAAACUCAGAUUGUGCAGAGAACAGUUUGCAAAACAAAGUCACCCUGUGCAUCUGAGAAUAAAACCUGCAGUUAAAACAAAAAUACGAGGUCACCAAAAAGACCUGUUUAUUCUUCACAAAACCAUCUCCCAUUGCUGAUAGCACCCCAAAUCUAACCUCAUUCUUAGAAGAUCUGUCAAGAUACUUCUGACCAGUCUGCACCAGUGUAACUUAGAUCUGCACAUACUGUCAAACUUGCUUUUCUCUUAGAUACUGAAUGAAGGCUGCGCUGGUGUGAUUAACAGAAUUCACCAUGGGAACAUGUGGCACCUGGCUGUUGGAAGCAGAAAGCAGACAGUGUUACCCUGAGACGGGAGCCGCUGGUGUGUGCCUGGGAGGCAGUCACAUUCUUCUCAUCCUUCUGGGUCUCUGAAUGCUCUUGCAUUUUAAGCCAGUCUGGGCAGAACAUUAUAACUUAUUUUUGGAAGUAUGUGAAAAAGGCAUUUGUCAAGCCUUUAACUUCAGAUUGGUCAGCACAACUUCCUGAAAAUUCAGGUGGUGUUUAGCCUUUAUUCUGUGCCAAGCCUGAGCUGCCUACAGAGGAGAACUACACCACACUUACAGCAACUACACUUAAACUGUUGUGUUCUAGAUGGAAUCUCAAGUGUUUACUAAUCAUACAAGCCUUUCACAGUUUCAUGUAUAAAUACCUUAAGUCUGGCCCUCUCCUACCACAGUGAAGGAAAUCCAAGCGGAAGCCCUGGAGCAAGUUCUUGCGUGCCCAUGAUACACUGCAGCCAUUGAUCAAGCAAAGACUUCUAAAGUCAUUUUUCAAAUAUCAAAGAAUGACAGCAAAGAGCUCUAAGAACAGAAGUAAGAAUAUGUAAGACAUUUUACAGCCUUGCCUUUACAAUACACUCAGCGUAUAUGCUGGUAGAUUGUGUGAAAAAGUAUUCUGUACUCCAUCAGUUACUAGCAUUGGGUAAAUCAAGUCUAGAAUGAAAAGCUCAGAAUAAAUACACAUAUAUGCAAUUCAAACAGACCAUACUCAUUGCAAUCAAACAUUGAAGUAACAUGCUCAAUGCAAAUAACUUUUUAAAAAACAAGAUGGACUUAAGUGGAAGAAAGAAUUUUCCUGACAUUUUCCUCUCUGAAAACCAAGGGACUAGGAGGCAGCAGCAGGGCUAUAGAGUGGGGGGGAGAAGCCACUGCUCCCAUGUGUGAGGUGUGGGUGCCCUGAGCAGCUCCUGGCAAGAGCUUGCAGCAAAGAAUGGGGAAUGAAAAAAAUCCAUGGGUGCGGGUGUGGCUUUCCAACCAGCUAGUAAAGUACAGCUCCACACCAAAUACCAGUUUUGAGAGAAUUCUUCUAACUAGUAUUGAUUUAACUCAUUUUUCACAGUAGCCAAGUCACAACAGUAGCUCAUUGCUCAUUCAGUUUCUGCUUAUGCUUCCCCUCCACUUCAUCAUCUAUUAGACACUUUCCUCAAAGUGAAGCUGGCAAAAAUUAAGUGUUUGGACUUCAAAGCCCCUUUCUUGAUCCUCUCUAUUCAUCAGCCUUAUUUUUGUAGCUAUUCAUAGACCUGGUUGAUGUUGCAGUUCCAAAUACAAGAAUUUAAAAUAUAUCGUAAGAGACUGUUGGCAAAUUAUUGUAUCACACUUAAAUUUCAAAAGGCCUCAAAGAUCCACGUAAUUAAAAAUUACCCAUAAUAUGGGCAAAGCUAGAAAACAGCAGUUGUUGUGGAUCAGAAAAGUGACUCUUUUCAAUUAAAUGUGAAGAGAGCACUAUUGAUGAAAGAUAUGACUGCCUUGUUUGUAGAAUUCAAGCUCUUAUGAACUACUCAGUGAAUAUUUGCAAUGCAAGUCCAAGACUUCAAACCACUCUCUCUAGCAGACGAGAGGAAUGCCACCAACAGUUUCACAUACUCUUAACUUCUUCGUGCUGUCCAGCAACUUACUCAGGGAAAAUUAGAAAGAAUGUGUUCAGUAACUCAUUUUCCACAGACUUCUUUCCCCUUC